rnacentral:rRNA from 1 species
UACGUAGGGGGCGAGCGUUGUCCGGAAUGACUGGGCGUAAAGGGCGUGUAGGCGGCCUGAUAAGUCUGGAGUGAAAGUCCUGCAUUUAAUGUGGGAAUUGCUUUGGAUACUGUCGGGCUCGAGUGCGGAAGAGGUAAGUGGAAUUCCCAGUGUAGCGGUGAAAUGCGUAGAGAUUGGGAGGAACACCAGUGGCGAAGGCGACUUACUGGGCCGUAACUGACGCUGAGGCGCGAAAGCGUGGGGAGCGAAC